rnacentral:rRNA from 1 species
GGAUGAAAGUUGAGUGGCGGACGGGUGAGUAACACGUGGGCAACCUGCCUCACAGAGGGGGAUAGCAGUUGGAAACGACUGAUAAUACCGCAUAAGCACACAGUACCGCAUGGUACAGGGUGAAAAGAUUUAUCACUGUGAGAUGGACCCGCGUCUGAUUAGCCAGUUGGCAGGGUAACGGCCUACCAAAGCGACGAUCAGUAGCCGACCUGAGAGGGUGACCGGCCACAUUGGGACUGAGACACGGCCCAAACUCCUACGGGAGGCAGCAGUGGGGGAUAUUGCACAAUGGAGGAAACUCUGAUGCAGCGACGCCGCGUGAGUGAAGAAGUAUUUCGGUAUGUAAAGCUCUAUCAGCAGGGAAGAUAAUGACAGUACCUGACCAAGAAGCCCCGGCUAACUACGUGCC